rnacentral:lncRNA from 1 species
AUAGAUAGCCCCCAAAAAGCAUCCCUACAUUUAGUUUACUAGAAUCCUCAAAACUUUUAAAAAAAAUAAUUUCUUACUACAAUCUCUAAAAUCAUACUCCAAACUAUAAAAUUCUAUCCAUUGCAUACACCAUGUUAUCAAAUAGAAAAAAAUUGUGAGCACCAAAUUAUAAGAAAUCCAUAAUUAUCAAGGAUAAAUAAGU